rnacentral:rRNA from 1 species
AUUGAACGCUGGCGGCAUGCCUUACACAUGCAAGUCGAACGGCAGCACGGGUGCUUGCACCUGGUGGCGAGUGGCGAACGGGUGAGUAAUAUAUCGGAACGUACCUUAUUGUGGGGGAUAACGCAGCGAAAGCUGUGCUAAUACCGCAUAAUCCCUAAGGGGGAAAGCGGGGGACCGUAAGGCCUCGCGCAAUUAGAGCGGCCGAUACCUGAUUAGCUAGUUGGUGAGGUAAAGGCUCACCAAGGCAACGAUCAGUAGCUGGUCUGAGAGGACGAUCAGCCACACUGGGACUGAGACACGGCCCAGACUCCUACGGGAGGCAGCAGUGGGGAAUUUUGGACAAUGGGGGCAACCCUGAUCCAGCAAUGCCGCGUGAGUGAAGAAGGCCUUCGGGUUGUAAAGCUCUUUUGUCAGGGAAGAAAUCGCACAGGCUAAUACUCUGUGUGGAUGACGGUACCGGCAUAAGAAGCACCGGCUAACUACGUGCCAGCAGCCGCCGUAA